ensembl:snRNA Rnu6-632 RNA, U6 small nuclear 632
GUGCUCGCUCCGACAGCACAUUCACUAAAAAACUGGAACGAUACAGAGAAAAUUAGCAUGGCCCCAGUGCAAGGGCUGGACCCUUGCACUGUAUAAAGAAACAAGCACAA